ACAAUUGUUAUAAUUUACUAUAUCUAAAUGCAUGGUUAAUAGUAUAUAACCUAACAAUCUCCCACUUAGAUAUUUAAUCUUGAAAAUUGUUAGAAUACUAUGUCUAAACACAUGAUUAAUAGUAUAUACCCUAACAAUCUCCCACUUAGACUCUUAACUACGCAUUUACAACUUUCACAAGCAUUCCUUUAUUUGUAUUUUCUCUU
rnacentral:lncRNA from 1 species